GACGAACGCUGGCGGCGUGCUUAACACAUGCAAGUCGAACGGAAAGGCCCUGCUUUUGUGGGGUGCUCGAGUGGCGAACGGGUGAGUAACACGUGAGUAACCUGUCCCUGACUUUGGGAUAACUUCAGGAAACUGGGGCUAAUACCGGAUAGGAGCUCCUGCUGCAUGGUGGGGGUUGGAAAGUUUCGGCGGUUGGGGAUGGACUCGCGGCUUAUCAGCUUGUUGGUGGGGUAGUGGCUUACCAAGGCUUUGACGGGUAGCCGGCCUGAGAGGGUGACCGGCCACAUUGGGACUGAGAUACGGCCCAGACUCCUACGGGAGGCAGCAGUGGGGAAUAUUGCACAAUGGGCGGAAGCCUGAUGCAGCAGCGCCGCGUGCGGGAUGACGGCCUUCGGGUUGUAAACCACUUUCGCCUGUGACGAAGCGUGAGUGACGGUAAUGGGUAAAGAAGCACCGGCUAACUACGUG
rnacentral:rRNA from 1 species